ensembl:lncRNA
UUUCUUCCGCCGCUCGCCUGAUUAAAAUCUCGCGCUUCGGGAAAAACUGAAUUCUCACGAGAACUUCAAGGCGAGCGAAUCUAACGAGACUUUCUUGUUUCUUUUUAAAGUAAUUCCGAUGGCGCAUUUAGCGGAGCAUAUAUACAACAAACCCCGUCACGAUGGCUUCAGCGUCGCAGAAGAGGAGAAGCGACGCUUGCAUCUGCACGUGAGAUAGAGUCGUAUGGAUUUGAAUAGUUCCACAGACGUGAGGGCUUUCACGCGUGCGUGUUCUGCGGGGAGCGGUGGGUUUGACUGAUCGUUCUGCGCGCUUCCGUCACGUUGGAAGCUUUCUCGCGGGGGCGCGUCUGUCGGGAGCGCGCUGCAAGAUUAACGUCAGCCAAUAGUGAGUCUACAGCGAAAUAGAACCAGCACCGUGGCUGAGUAAUCCCAGAAAGCCUGAGAAACUACAUUUUGUGGUCAACCCUGUUAUUUUAAGUAUGUGUCACGGAGAUUAUAAACUUGUACCACCAGAGGAACCGUCACAGAUGGGCGUUGUGUUUCGGUGCAGACAGCCUAAAAAUAACCUUUUGGAAUGUACGGAAUAGGUGGGUGUAGGCGUGACUCACUGUCCUGGGGCAAUCCUUUUCACAGCCUCGCUCCCAAAGUCAUAACAAAAAAAUACACCACGAACAUCAGCAGAGACAGUCCAAAGUCACCAGCGAAGAUCGUCUAUUCAACGAUGACCAACAAAAUAAAAGAAAGAAGCUUCACUCUCUCACGCAAUGCAGCAGCUCUGUAUGUAAACCAAAAGAUCUGUGGCCUUGAGCUGCUCAUUGAGCAGGAACCACUUUGAGGUUAAGUAUCUUGCCCAAGGAUACAUCGAUAUGGACUAGUGGAUCCGAGGAUCAAACCGCCGAUCUUGCAAUUGAAGGACUGAACAGAUUUAAUGUCAUUCCUUGUAUUUAUCAUUAUCAAAAUGACAAAUACUGUCAUUGUUAGAUUGUUGGUUGUUAGAACAUGAUUUUUUUCAGCUCUACCAGAAUGCUUCUUUUUUAUCUUAUGAGAAUGGAGCCUUCUGAGAGAUAAUGCGUUGCCUGUCUGGGCCUUGAAUUAGCUUUGAAAUGUGCAGGACUCGUGGUACGUGGUGCGCUGCAAAGCGGCAGAGUGAGAGGUCUGUCACCGUCUCCUCCCUCGCUGCACUUGCUAGGCUC